CGCGUAGACGGUUUUGUAAGUCAGAUGUGAAAUCCCUGGGCUCAACCUGGGAACUGCAUUUGAGACUGCAUGGCUAGAGUAUCGAAGAGGGAAGUGGAAUUUCCGGUGUAGCGGUGAAAUGCGUAGAUAUCGGAAGGAACACCAGUGGCGAAAGCGACUUCCUGGUCGAAUACUGACGUUCAUGUGCGAAAGCGUGGGGAGCAAACA
rnacentral:rRNA from 1 species